rnacentral:rRNA from 1 species
AUUGAACGCUGGCGGUAGGCCUAACACAUGCCAGUCGAACGGCAGCACAGUAAGAGCUUGCUCUUACGGGUGGCGAGUGGCGGACGGGUGAGGAAUACAUCGGAAUCUACUUUUUCGUGGGGGAUAACGUAGGGAAACUUACGCUAAUACCGCAUACGACCUACGGGUGAAAGCAGGGGAUCUUCGGACCUUGCGCGAUUGAAUGAGCCGAUGUCGGAGUAGCUAGUUGGCGGGGUAAAGGCCCACCAAGGCGACGAUCCGUAGCUGGUCUGAGAGGAUGAUCAGCCACACUGGAACUGAGACACGGUCCAGACUCCUACGGGAGGCAGCAGUGGGGAAUAUUGGACAAUGGGCGCAAGCCUGAUCCAGCCAUACCGCGUGGGUGAAGAAGGCCUUCGGGUUGUAAAGCCCUUUUGUUGGGAAAGAAAAGCAGCAGGUUAAUACCCCGCUGUUCUGACGGUACCCAAAGAAUAAGCACCGGCUAACUUCGUG